AUCUCUGUGUUUGAGGGUCUUGGAAGCUUGACUACCCUACGUUCUCCUACAAAUGGACCUUGAGAGCUUGUUUGGAGGUUCUAGCAGGGGAGCGCAGCUAUCGUAUACCCUUGACCGAAGAACGGUACACUCCUUCUAUCUGGGAUGGUCGUC